GUUCCUGUUCAUACAAUGCCAUGUGCCAUAGAAACUAAUGUUCCCGAAGUCGAAUUGCUAGGAGUUAAAAGCAAGUCUGCUGCAGUUGUUUUUGGUUGUUCAGAGUUUCACCCGGUCAACGGUCAGGUUUUUUUGUUAUCUGGUAAAAGGAUAACUCGACAGACGGACCCAGUCUGAAGCAAGCCUCAUUGAGGAGCAGCGAUUCCACAGUUCCAGUUAACUGGAUGGCGAGUCAACCCAAAAGUGAACAGGAUUUGCAGAGGUUUUAUUGAAGCCAAAGUUUCAUUCCCAUUGAAGCUUCCGAUACCUGCAGGACUACGAACUUUCUUCCUUCAUCGGAGUGUGGUAGGACAAAUGUUAAACAAACUGAACGGGCCCCAACGAUCCAACAGUUACCAGACAUUAUUCACUCAUACAAUUGACUCAGAGGAAGCUCAUGUCUUUAUCCUGUCUUCCUUCUCUCACCCCAACCGGUCGCAGCAGAUGGC